AACGAACGCUGGCGGCAUGCCUAACACAUGCAAGUCGAACGAGACCUUCGGGUCUAGUGGCGCACGGGUUCGUAACGCGUGGGAACCUGCCCUUAGGUUCGGAAUAACUCCCCGAAAGGGGUGCUAAUACCGGAUAAUGUCUUCGGACCAAAGAUUUAUCGCCUUUGGAUGGGCCCGCGUUGGAUUAGCUAGUUGGUAGGGUAAAAGCCUACCAAGGCGACGAUCCAUAGCUGGUCUGAGAGGAUGAUCAGCCACACUGGGACUGAGACACGGCCCAGACUCCUACGGGAGGCAGCAGUGGGGAAUAUUGGACAAUGGGCGAAAGCCUGAUCCAGCAAUGCCGCGUGAGUGAUGAAGGCAUUAGGGUUGUAAAGCUCUUUUACCCGGGAUGAUAAUGACAGUACCGGGAGAAUAAGCUCCGGCUAACUCCGUG
rnacentral:rRNA from 1 species